rnacentral:tRNA from 1 species
AAGGUGUAGCGCAGUCUGGUAGCGCAUCUGUUUUGGGUACAGAGGGUCAUAGGUUCGAAUCCUGUCACCUUGAU